rnacentral:lncRNA from 1 species
AAAAUAUCUACUUAUACAUGUUUUGUAUUUACUUCUGCAUGAAUUCUAAAGGCAAGCAACAUUUCAGAUAAUAUGUAACAUUCUGAGAUAUGUUUAUCAUUCACCAUUAUAAUAAUACUAUUUGACCAUUUGAACUAUUUUAUGGUUGACAAAUAAAAUUAUAUGAUUGACAAGAAGAAAACCCAGAAACUUUUGGACUCUGGCUUAUCUAUAAUGAUUAGAUGGAGCAAGCAACUAGAGUUGACAGCAGUCUUUCCAUUUCUGAGUUUUCCGCUCUGUUCCAUUGAUUUAUGUGUCUGUUUUUGUGCCAGUACCAUACUGUCUUGAUGAUUACAGCUUUGAGCUAGAGCUUGAAGUUCAGAAUAGUGAUGCCACCGGUUCUCAUUCCCUUUUUCAACAUUUCCUUGGAUAUUCAAUGACCACAGUCUUUCCAAAGAUAAUGUCAGAGAUCAUCUCUCCAACAAAUUUUAGCCAAAACAAAAUCAAUGGAUGCACACUGAGCCAGAGGAGACUGAAUUUAAAAGAAGGUGAUAGUGACAUCUAUCAGGCAAUUCUUCUAAAUAAAGCACAUGCCUACCCUCAGGUCUCUUCAGAGUCACCUCACCUGAGACCUACACUGUAGGAUCAGCCUACUGGGAACACUGCCAAGCUCAAGGGAAAGAGGAAAAUACCAAGGUGGAGAAUGAUGUAAUGGCUUGUAAAUCUUCUUUUUGGGAAUGCACAUAUCAAUUGCCAUCAUCUAUUUACCAAGGCCAGUAACAAGAUCAAGCCUAAAGUCAAUGAGGUGGAAAGGUACAGAUAUUCCCUGAAUUAGUAUGGGGUUAUGUCCCAGUAAAUCCACUGUAAGUUGGAAAUAUCAUAGGUCAAAAAUGCAUUUAAUGCGUCUCACCAAACAUCAUAGAUUAGCCUAGUCUACUUUAAAUGUGCUCAGAAUAAUUUAUGAGCCUAGAGUUGGGUGAAAUCAUCUAACAAAGCUUAUUUUAUAAUAAAGUGUUGAAUAUCUCCUGUUAUUUAUUGAAU